GGGAGGUAGUGACAAUAAAUAACAAUACGGGGUUCUUUUGGGUCUUGUAAUUGGAAUGAGUACAAUUUAAAUCUCUUAACGAGGAACAAUUGGAGGGCAAGUCUGGUGCCAGCAGCCGCGGUAAUUCCAGCUCCAAUAGCGUAUAUUAAAGUUGCUGCAGUUAAAAAGCUCGUAGUUGAAUUUCGGGACCAUCAUGUCGGUCGUGCCUCGGUACGUACUGGUAUUGUUGGUUUCUCCCUUCUGACGAACCAUGAUGUCAUUUAUUUGGUGUUGUGGGGAAUCAGGACUGUUACUUUGAAAAAAUUAGAGUGUUUAAAGCAAGCUAACGCUUGAAUACAUUAGCAUGGAAUAAUGAAAUAGGACGUUCGAUCCUAUUUUGUUGGUUUCUAGGAUUGACGUAAUGAUUAAUAGGGAUAGUUGGG
rnacentral:rRNA from 1 species